UUUUCUUAGAACGCAAACAAAGUGAGCGACGCGAUGAGGUCACGAUUAAACGACCUACCUCAAGCAGGAAAGUUCCUGCCAUCGCCAUCUCAGUAUCGAUCAGAAUUGAAGGGCUUAUUGACUAUAUUCAGAGCUACAGUAAGUAAACUACAUGGCAACGUUGUGGUGAGGAAUUUUUAAACUAUAAGCUCGAGGAGGAGGGCGGAGUCGUAGAAGAUGAAGUGGAAUACGUCUUGAAGGUUGUCGCUAUCCUUGAUUAUGAUAAGUCUGGGUGCUCUUAACAUGGCGGAUACUUACAUGGCAAGAGAGACAAGACUUAAAUUUUUAGUAUGACAAGGGUUUCCAUGGAUCACUGUGUUUCAUCUGUGAGUAAGAUUCUUCGCAACUACCGUCCCCAUUUCUAUCAAUACAUAAAAAGGAGUUAUUCACUUUUUUGGAGGUUUGAUGUUUUCACUUUUCUACCCGGUUUAGAUUUUAAUUUGGAUUCUUGUGCUCUUAGGUUUGUGAUUAAUGUAGGUGAGAGCAUUAGUCGUCAACGAGAAUAGCAUUAGUUUUUAAAAUGAUCUAUUUCACAGUAUCCAGCAACCUCUGCUAAGAAAAAUUAUUUCUGGACCAAUGGAUUCGGAUAACUGAUGUUAUGGUUUAUAAAAAUGACUAGUUGGAUGUUCGCGUGGA